GAUGAAGAACGCAGCGAAAUGCGAUAAGUAGUGUGAAUUGCAGAAUUCAGUGAAUCAUCGAAUCUUUGAACGCACAUUGCGCCCCUUGGUAUUCCAUGGGGCAUGCCUGUUCGAGCGUCAUUAUAACCCUCAAGCUCAGCUUGGUGUUGGGGCCUGCUGCACUGGCAGCCCUUAAAAUCAGUGGCGGCGCCAUCUGGCUCUAAGCGUAGUAAUUCUUCUCGCUAUGGAGUCCUGGUGGAUGCUUGCCAUCAACCCCCAAUUUUUCUAUGGUUGACCUCGGAUCAGGUAGGGAUACCCGCUGAACUUAAGCAUAUCAAUAAGCGGAGGA
rnacentral:misc_RNA from 1 species